rnacentral:snoRNA from 1 species
UCCUGUCGGUGAUGAGACCACGGAACCUGCGUCAGGCAUGGCGCCCGAUACCAAUGAGGAAAUCUUCCAUGCUGCCUUCCUUCUGAGACCCGC